GACGAACGCUGGCGGCGUGCUUAACACAUGCAAGUCGAACGGAAAGGCCCUGCUUUUGUGGGGUGCUCGAGUGGCGAACGGGUGAGUAACACGUGAGUAACCUGCCCUUGACUUUGGGAUAACUUCAGGAAACUGGGGCCAAUACCGAAUAGAAGCGCCUGCUGCAUGGUGGGGGUGGGAAAUUUUCGGCGGUUGGGGAUGGACUCGCGGCUUAUCAGCUGGUGGGUGGGGCAGUGGCUUACCAAGGCUUGGACGGGUAGCCGGCCUGAGAGGGUGACCGGCCACAUUGGGACUGAGAUACGGCCCAGACUCCUACGGGAGGCAGCAGUGGGGAAUAUUGCACGAUGGGCGGAAGCCGGAUGCAGCAACGCCGCGUGCGGGAUGACGGCCUUCGGGUUGUAAACCGCUUUCGCCUGUGACGAAGCGUGAGUGACGGUAAUGGGUAAAGAAGCACCGGCUAACUACGUG
rnacentral:rRNA from 1 species